CCUGCUUCUUGGAAGAAACAUGGAUUCCUUGAUGAACACGGAACCAGAAAGAAGGAUAUACCAGCAGGUCCCAAUAUCAUCGGGGCUGAAAAGAAAAGGAACCUCAGUUCCGUGAUGUCAGGGGUUUGAUUUACUUCAAUGCAGUAUCUCCAGAGCCUACAUCAAUAUCAAGUACACAGCUGAAACAAUUCUGUAAAUAACCACAAGGUGGCACACCGGACCAACCGUCCUUCCUAGAACCCAAAAGCAGUCGCCAGUCUUGCAAGUGAUUCAACACAGAGAUGGGG